GACGAACGCUGGCGGCGUGCCUAACACAUGCAAGUCGAACGGGGUGUAGAGAGCUUGCUCUUUACACUUAGUGGCGAACGGGUGAGUAACGCGUGAGGAACCUGCCUUCCAGUGGGGGACAACAGUUGGAAACGACUGCUAAUACCGCAUAACAUAUUCGAGGGGCAUCCCUUGAAUAUCAAAGCUUUAUGUGCUGGAAGAUGGCCUCGCGUCUGAUUAGCUAGUUGGUGGGGUAACGGCUCACCAAGGCGACGAUCAGUAGCCGGUCUGAGAGGAUGAACGGCCACAUUGGGACUGAGAUACGGCCCAG
rnacentral:rRNA from 1 species